UGGCGGACGGGUGAGUAACGCGUGAGUAACCUGCCUUUCAGAGGGGAAUAACGUUCUGAAAAGAACGCUAAUACCGCAUAACGUACAGUUACCGCAUGGUAGCAGUACCAAAGGAGCAAUCCGCUGAAAGAUGGACUCGCGUCCGAUUAGCUAGUUGGUGGGGUAAAGGCCUACCAAGGCGACGAUCGAUAGCCGGACUGAGAGGUUGAACGGCCACAUUGGGACUGAGACACGGCCCAG
rnacentral:rRNA from 1 species